rnacentral:lncRNA from 1 species
AUUAUUACUAUCUUUAUGUCCACGCAUACCCAUUGUAUAACCUACAUUUUUAACCAUGAUGGUGAAUAAAAAGAAGAGAGAAGGAAAAAAGAAAAAAAAAAAAAAGAGGCUGGUGAGUGCUGGUCUCCUGAAGAGCAGUCUCUUGUGGUAUGGAGUAGGUGAAAACCUAAAGAGAGCAUUAAGGAGAGUAGAAAGUGAAGAAGUCAGAGUGAGA